rnacentral:lncRNA from 1 species
GGGUGGUGCUAGUGUGGACAGGCCGGGAACCAGGAGGCCGAGAAGGGAAUCGGGGCCAGUCUGGCCCACACGUGGACAGCAGCGGUGAGCAGCAAGGCCGGUCCAAGCU